AAAUGUGAGUGUAAUCUUAUUGCCACAUCUUUCAUGUCAUUAAUCACUAGGGUUGAUUUGACUUAUUUGGCUAUAUAAAUCCAUGUUGCCUUUCUCUCUCUACUUCAUAUGCAUCCCUCAUAAAGGUUAAAGAGAUACAAGGGUCUUUGAUAAUGGAUAUAUGAAUAGUUGAACUCCUCAAAUAAAGGGGAUGAGGAGGACAAAGGCAUGAAGGGGACAGAGUACAUCACAGAAUCCCAGGUUGUUAUAGCUG
rnacentral:snRNA from 1 species